rnacentral:rRNA from 1 species
UAUUAUAUUUAUUAUUAUUGUUAUAGAUUUGAGGUGUAUUUGAAAUGAGCAAAUUAGAUUUUAUUAUAGGGUUAGAAAUAAGUCUAUUUAUUAUAGGGAAUUUUACCGUGAGGGAGUUAAUUUUAAAUUGUUUAAAGAAGUUUUUAUUUGGCGUACCUUGUGUAUCAGGGUUUAUUAAUUAAGACUUGGUUAUUUAUGUAUCUCGAAGUCAGAAGAGCUACAUUUAUAUUUAUAUUACUGUAGCAUAAGUAUUUAAAAUAUUAAUGUGGAAAUGAAAUGUUAUUCGUUUCUGAAUAUAUCUAGUUUUUUUAGAAAAAAAUUAAAUUUUUUUUGUUUAAAUAUUAAUAAGUUAAAUUUUUAAUUUAUUAUUAAGACAAUUUUAUAUUUUAGGGGAUAAGCUCUGAAAUAAAUAUUUAAAAGUAAUUAUUUUAUUGCUAGUGGUAGGGAUAGUAUUUUCCAUCAGUAUAAUUAUUUAAUAGUUGAUAUAGGGUUGAUUAUAAUUUUGGGUUGCUUUAAGUUUUAUAUAAAAAUGGUGAUUGAAACAGAGUAAAUUAAGAAAUAAUGAUAAAAUUAGUAUAGUGUCUUGUUAUUUUAAUUUAGAGUUGUUAGGUUAAUAGAAGGAACUCGGCAAAUAUAUUUUUUACCUGUUUAUUAAAAACAUGGCCUUUUGAUUAUAAUUUAAGGUCGUGCCUGCCCGCUGAUUUUUGAAGGGCCGCGGUAACUUGACUGUGCGAAGGUAGCAUAAUAAUUAGUUUUUUAAUUGAAAGCUGGAAUGAAUGGUUGGAUAAGAAAAUAACUGUCUCCUGUUUAAUUUUAUUAGAAAUUUAUUUUUAAGUAAAAAAGCUUAAAUUUAGUUAAUAGACGAGAAGACCCUGUAGAGUUUUAUAUGGUCUGGAUCCUUUGUUUUUAGAAUUAUUUUAGCUAAGAGGUCUUGAUUGUUAUUUGGUUGGGGCGAUUAAAAAAUUGGGAGAACUUUUUUAAAAUUGUAACAUUGAUUAGUGAGUAAGCGAUCCAUUUAUUAUGAUUGUAAGAUAAAAUUACCUUAGGGAUAACAGCGUAAUUUUUCUUAGAGUUCUGAUCGAAGGAAAAGUUUGCGACCUCGAUGUUGGAUUAAAGUUAAAUUUUGGCGAAGAAGCUAAAAAUUUAGGUCUGUUCGACCUGUGAUACUUUACAUGAUCUGAGUUUAAACCGGCGUGAGCCAGGUUGGUUUCUAUCUUUAAUAACUUAUAGUAUUCUAGUACGAAAGGACCGAAUAUUAAAAUUUAAUUUUAUUGUUUGAAUACUAUUA